ACGGGAGGCAGCAGUUAGGAAUCUCCGCAAUGGGCGCAAGCCUGACGGAGCGACGCCGCUGGAGGAGGAAGCCCUUCGGGGUGUAAACUCCUGAACCCGGGACGAAACCCCCGAUGAGGGGACUGACGGUACCGGGGUAAUAGCGCCGGCCAACUCCGUGCCAGCAGCCGCGGUAAUACGGAGGGCGCGAGCGUUACCCGGAUUUACUGGGCGUAAAGGGCGUGUAGGCGGCUUGGGGCGUCCCAUGUGAAAGGCCACGGCUCAACUGUGGAGGAGCGUGGGAUACGCUCAGGCUAGACGGUGGGAGAGGGUGGUGGAAUUCCCGGAGUAGCGGUGAAAUGCGCAGAUACCGGGAGGAACGCCGAUGGCGAAGGCAGCCACCUGGCUCACCUGUGACGCUGAGGCGCGAAAGCGUGGGGAGCAAACCGGAUUAGAUACCCGGGUAGUCCACGCCCUAAACGAUGCGCGCUAGGUCUCUGGGUUAUCUGGGGGCCGAAGCCAACGCGUUAAGCGCGCCGCCUGGGGAGUACGGCCGCAAGGCUGAAACUCAAGGGAAUUGACGGGGGCCCGCACAAGCGGUGGAGCAUGUGGUUUAAUUCGAAGCAACGCGAAGAACCUUACCAGGCCUUGACAUGCUAGGGAACCUGGGUGAAAGCCUGGGGUGCCCCGCGAGGGGAGCCCUAGCACAGGUGCUGCAUGGCCGUCGUCAGCUCGUGUCGUGAGAUGUUGGGUUAAGUCCUGCAACGAGCGCAACCCCUGCCGUUAGUUGCCAGCGGGUCGAGCCGGGCACUCUAACGGGACUGCCUGCGAAAGCAGGAGGAAGGCGGGGACGACGUCUGGUCAUCAUGGCCCUUACGGCCUGGGCGACACACGUGCUACAAUGCCCACUACAGAGCGAGGCGACCUGGCGACAGU
rnacentral:rRNA from 1 species